rnacentral:rRNA from 1 species
GACGAACGCUGGCGGCGUGCUUAACACAUGCAAGUCGAACGGAAAGGCCCUGCUUGCAGGGUGCUCGAGUGGCGAACGGGUGAGUAACACGUGGGUGAUCUGCCCCUUACUUUGGGGUAAGCCUGGGAAACUGGGUCUAAUACUGGAUAGGACCAUGCUGUAGGUGGUGUGGUGGAAAGAUUAGUUUCGGUAAGGGAUGAGCUCGCGGCCUAUCAGCUUGUUGGUGGGGUAAUGGCCUACCAAGGCGUCGACGGGUAGCCGGCCUGAGAGGGUGGACGGCCACAUUGGGACUGAGAUACGGCCCAGACUCCUACGGGAGGCAGCAGUGGGGAAUAUUGCACAAUGGGCGCAAGCCUGAUGCAGCGACGCCGCGGGGGGGAUGACGGCCUUCGGGUUGUAAACUCCUUUCAGCCAUGACGAAGCCCUUGUGGUGACGGUAGUGGUAGAAGAAGCACCGGCUAACUACGUG